rnacentral:rRNA from 1 species
CCAAUAGCGUAUAUUAAAGUUGUUGCAGUUAAAAAGCUCGUAGUUGAAUUUCGGGAUCAGACUGUCGGUCGUGCCUCGGUACGUACUGGCAUUGUUGGUUUCUACCUUCUGAAGAACCACGAUGUCAUUUAUUUGGUGUCGUGAGGAAUCAGGACUGUUACUUUGAAAAAAUUAGAGUGUUUAAAGCAGGCGCACGCUUGAAUACAUUAGCAUGGAAUAAUGAAAUAGGACGUUUGAUUUUAUUUUGUUGGUUUCUAGGAUCGACGUAAUGAUUAAUAGGGAUAGUUGGGGGCAUUAGUAUUCAAUUGUCAGAGGUGAAAUUCUUGGAUUUAUUGAAGACUAACUACUGCGAAAGCAUUUGCCAAGGAUGUUUUCAUUAAUCAAGAACGAAAGUUAGGGGAUCGAAGACGAUCAGAUACCGUCGUAGUCUUAACCAUAAACUAUGCCGACUAGGGAUCGGAUGAUGUUAAUUUUAUAAUGACUCAUUCGGCGCCUUACG